UUUAUUACUCAAUGUAUCUAGAACAUUUAAUCAAAGGAAGCCCACUAAAGUUUGCAAAAAAAUUGAGAAAAAUGUAUCUCUCGUGCAUAUAUAGCUAACCAAUGAAUAUGACACUUUGUUGUGGAAGAUUAAUUUGAUUGCUCUUGAUUUCUCUAUGCUUCCAUUCUGACAUUGAUCGAUAUUUUCCAACGUGUCUUCGCUCUAUGAUUUAAGAUAUACAAGAUUGAGGAAGAAAAGGAGACAAUAUCAUCUUUCUGGAUUGACUGAGUUUUUGUGGUAAUAUAUGGAUGUUUAAGUAGUUGUACCCUUAGCGUAUCUGUAUUCUUGCUCGUUUGUGUUGCUAGUGAUGUCACGACCUGAAAAAAGAAUUUACCUCUAGAAAACUCAUUUUAAGGUCAUUUAUUAAAUAUUUAAACCAGAGCCCGUAAAAAACUUAUAACACGGAUAAUAUAGAAGUUCUUUAAACUGCGAGUGCAGCUUAACGAUAUAUCAGCACAAAAGCAAAAUGCAAAA
rnacentral:lncRNA from 1 species